rnacentral:rRNA from 1 species
AUUGAACGCUGGCGGCAUGCCUUACACAUGCAAGUCGAACGGCAGCACGGGUGCUUGCACCUGGUGGCGAGUGGCGAACGGGUGAGUAAUACAUCGGAACAUGUCCUGUAGUGGGGGAUAGCCCGGCGAAAGCCGGAUUAAUACCGCAUACGAUCUACGGAUGAAAGCGGGGGACCUUCGGGCCUCGCGCACUAGGGUUGGCCGAUGGCUGAUUAGCUAGUUGGUGGGGUAAAGGCCUACCAAGGCGACGAUCAGUAGAUGGUCUGAGAGGACGACCAGCCACACUGGGACUGAGACACGGCCCAGACUCCUACGGGAGGCAGCAGUGGGGAAUUUUGGACAAUGGGCGAAAGCCUGAUCCAGCAAUGCCGCGUGUGUGAAGAAGGCCUUCGGGUUGUAAAGCACUUUUGUCCGGAAAGAAAUCCUUGGCUCUAAUACAGUCGGGGGAUGACGGUACCGGAAGAAUAAGCACCGGCUAACUACGUG